rnacentral:rRNA from 1 species
AGUGAACGCUGGCGGUAGGCCUAACACAUGCAAGUCGAACGGCAGCACAGUAAGAGCUUGCUCUUACGGGUGGCGAGUGGCGUACGUGUGAGGAAUACAUCGUAAUCUACUUUUUCGUGGGGGUUAACGUAGGGAAACUUACUCUAGUACCGCAUACGACCUACGGGUGAAAGCAGGGGAUCUUCUGACCUUGCGGGAUUGAAUGCGCGGAUUUCGGAUUAGCUAGUUGGCGGGGUAAUGGCCUACCAAGGGGCCGAUCGGUAGCUGGUGUGAGAGGCGGGUAGCCCACAUUGGAACUGAGACACGGUCCAGAGUACUACGGGAGGCCGCAGUGUGCAAUGUUAGACAAUAGGCGCGAAUCUGAUCCAGCCAUACCGAGUGGGUGGAGAAGGCGUUCGGGGUGUAAAGACCGUUUGUUGGGUAAGAAAAGCUGUAGCUUGAUACCACGCUUGUCUGACGGUACCCAAUGAAGAAGCACCGGCUAACUUCGUG